CCUACGGGUGGCAGCAGUGGGGAAUAUUGGGCAAUGGGCGCAAGCCUGACCCAGCAACGCCGCGUGAAGGAAGAAGGCUUUCGGGUUGGAAAACUCUUUUUUCAGGGACGAAGAACGUGACGGUACUUGAGGACUAAGCGACGGCUACCUACGAGCCAGCGCCAGCGGUAAUACGUAGGUGGCAAGCGUUAUCCGGAUUUAUUGGGUGUAAAGGGCGUGUAGGCGGGAGGGCAAGUCAGAUGUGAAAACUCAGGGCUCAACCCUGGGCCUGCCUUUGACACUGUGGGGCUUGAGUGCUGGAGAGGUAAGCGGAAUGCCGGGUGUAGCGGUGAAAUGCGUAGAUAUACGGAGGAACACCAGUGGCGAAGGCGGAUUGCUGGACAGUAACUGACGCUGAGGCGCGAAAGCGUGGGGAGCAAACAGGAUUAGAUACCCCUGUAGUC
rnacentral:rRNA from 1 species